rnacentral:tRNA from 1 species
GGGGAUUUAGCUCAGCAGCAUAAGCACCUGCCUUGCAAGCAGGCAACAUAAGCACCUGCCUUGCAAGUAGGCAGUCAUGAGUUCAAUCCCCA